CACGUGAGGGGCAAGCGUUUGUCCGGAAUUAUUGGGCGUAAAAGAGCUCGUAGGCGGCUCGGUAAGUCAGGUGUCAAAUCCUCAGGCUCAACCUGGGGCUCCACCUGAUACUGCUGUGGCUAGAGUCCGGUAGGGGGAGCGUGGAAUUCCUGGUGUAGCGGUGAAAUGCGCAGAUAUCAGGAGGAACACCAGCGGCGAAGGCGGCGCUCUGGGCCGGAACUGACGCUGAGGAGCGAAAGCGUGGGUAGCAAACAGG
rnacentral:rRNA from 1 species